AGGGUUGUGGCUCAGCGGUAGAGCACUCACCUAGCAUGUGCGAGGCCCUGGGUUCAAUCCUCAGCACCACAU
rnacentral:tRNA from 1 species